rnacentral:rRNA from 1 species
AUACGGAGGAUCCGAGCGUUAUCCGGAUUUAUUGGGUUUAAAGGGAGCGUAGGUGGACAGUUAAGUCAGUUGUGAAAGUUUGCGGCUCAACCGUAAAAUUGCAGUUGAUACUGGCUGUCUUGAGUACAGUAGAGGUGGGCGGAAUUCGUGGUGUAGCGGUGAAAUGCUUAGAUAUCACGAAGAACUCCGAUUGCGAAGGCAGCUCACUGGACUGCAACUGACACUGAUGCUCGAAAGUGUGGGUAUCAAACAGGAUUAGAUACCCUGGUAGUCCACACAGUAAACGAUGAAUACUCGCUGUUUGCGAUAUACAGUAAGUGGCACAGCGAAAGCGUUAAGUAAUCCACCUGGGGAGUACGCCGGCAACGGUGAA